rnacentral:rRNA from 1 species
GAUCCUGGCUCAGGAUGAACGCUAGCUACAGGCUUAACACAUGCAAGUCGAGGGGCAGCAUCAUCAAAGCUUGCUUUGAUGGAUGGCGACCGGCGCACGGGUGAGUAACACGUAUCCAACCUGCCGACAACACUGGGAUAGCCUUUCGAAAGAAAGAUAAAUACCGGAUGGCAUAGUUUUCCCGCAUGGGAUAAUUAUUAAAGAAUUUCGGUUGCCGAUGGGGAUGCGUUCCAUUAGG